rnacentral:rRNA from 1 species
UACGGAGGGGGCUAGCGUUGUUCGGAAUUACUGGGCGUAAAGCGUACGUAGGCGGCUUUGUAAGUUAGAGGUGAAAGCCCGGGGCUCAACUCCGGAAUUGCCUUUAAGACUGCAUCGCUUGAAUCAUGGAGAGGUGAGUUGAAUUCCGAGUGUAGAGGUGAAAUUCGUAGAUAUUCGGAAGAACACCAGUGGCGAAGGCGACUCACUGGACAUGUAUUGACGCUGAGGUACGAAAGCGUGGGGAGCAAACAGG